AUGGGAAAGGACUUUAGCUCAGUGGGCAGAGCUUCUGCUUUGCAUGCAGAAGGUCCCAGGUUCAAUCCCUGGUACCUACU